rnacentral:rRNA from 1 species
CCCUUAGAUGUUCUGGGCCGCACGCGCGCUACACUGAUGCAUUCAACGAGUUUCUUCCUGGUCCGAGAGGAAUGGGUAACCUUUUGAAAGUGCAUCGUGAUAGGGAUAGACUAUUGCAAUUAUUGGUCUACGAGGAAUUCCUAGUAGACGUAGUUCAUCAGACUGCAUCGAUUACGUCCCUGCCCUUUGUACACACCGCCCGUCGCUCCUACCGAUUGAAUGCUCAGGUGAGCCAUUCGGACUUUCAUCAUGCUGGUUUCCAGUUUUGAUGAAGGAAAGUCUUGCGAACCUUAUCAUUUAGAGGAAGGAGAAGUCGUAACA